CAGCAGCCACGGGAACACGUAGGGUGCAAGCGUUAAUCGGAAUUACUGGGCGUAAAGCGUGCGCAGGCGGUUAUAUAAGACAGAUGUGAAAUCCCCGGGCUCAACCUGGGAACUGCAUUUGUGACUGUAUAGCUAGAGUACGGCAGAGGGGGAUGGAAUUCCGCGUGUAGCAGUGAAAUGCGUAGAUAUGCGGAGGAACACCGAUGGCGAAGGCAAUCCCCUGGGCCUGUACUGACGCUCAUGCACGAAAGCGUGGGGAGCAAACAGGAUUAGAUACCCGGUAGUCCCUGUCUCUUAUACA
rnacentral:rRNA from 1 species